rnacentral:tRNA from 1 species
AUCGCAGUAGUCCGACGAACGUCAGUUCUAUUUUCCUCAUAAUGAAGGGGGCUGGGGUUCGAAUCCCCAAGGCGGCUCCA